CAGAGGGUGCAAGCGUUAAUCGGAAUUACUGGGCGUAAAGGGUGCGUAGGUGGUUAAUUAAGUCAGAUGUGAAAUCCCAAGGCUUAACCUUGGAAUGGCAUUUGAUACUGAUAAGCUAGAGUACAGAAGAGGGAAGUGGAAUUUCCGGUGUAGCGGUGAAAUGCGUAGAUAUCGGAAGGAACAUCAGUGGCGAAGGCGACUUCCUGGUCUGUUACUGACACUGAGGCACGAAAGCGUGGGGAGCGAACAGGAUUAGAUACCCUGGUAGUCCACGCCGUAAACGAUGAGAACUAGAUGUUAGGGGGCAUAGACCUUUUAGUAUCGUAGCAAACGUGUUAAGUUCUCCGCCUGGGGAGUACGGCCGCAAGGUUA
rnacentral:rRNA from 1 species